rnacentral:tRNA from 1 species
GGGGCGGUAGCUCAGUUGGUCAGAGCAGCGGACUCAUAAUCCGUCAGGUCCUGGGUUCGAGCCCCAGUCGCCCCACCA